UCCUUACCUGCAGCGAAAUGAAAAAAAGAAGUGAAAAAUCACCUGCUAUAAAAACAAAAAAACAAAACAACAAAAAAAAACAGCUGAGUCAAAUUCACUUGGGCUGCAUUGGGCCAUUACGUUUUCCCCCACUGCCUCCCCACAGGCAUUGCGGGGUGCUGGGCUGGCCAGGGCAGGAGCCACGCAGGGCCAUGCCUCCCAUGCUCGUGUCCCCGUGCUCCUGCCCAGCAGGGCCUCCCCACUGGGAGAGGAGGUGCAGGCCGACCGCGGCCAGCCGGAGCAGAAGCAGGGGAGCUCAGCCUGGCUGGCGUUAGCGUGUUGUUAGCGUCUUUUGUUCCCCAGCUUCUGUCGAGGCUUAAAGACGGGAUUUCAUUCAGAAGCUUGUUCUGGGAAGUUGCAUGAAUAAGCAGUCAAAUACUUACAGAGCUGUUUCACUUGAUCUUUUGAAGCACUGAAAAUAAAGACAGAGUCCUGUUAUCUUUCAUAUCUUCUGGCCAAGGGGUAUUUUUACUAAUGUCUCGCAUGUGUGUAAUUCAUUCCCCCUAGAAUACCUAAUAUUUGAUUUAUCUACUGGUAAAUCUAACGCAGGAGGUAGUACGUAAUGGUUCUCUAACACUGAAAGCAACACAACAAAGCAGUAUAGAAAAGGCAGAAAACAAAAGGGCAUUGCAGCAAAACAAACCAUUUUUUUUCCUCGGAAACUGGAUCUAUCCGUACCUUACAAAUUUUAUCUCUUCGAGCCACAAUUCCAAAAAGCACUGUGAGUGUAACCACCACCACAGCAGCGAUAACAGCCUCCAUGGGGAAAACAGUUUUUUUAUCUGUAAAGAGGGAGAGGAGGUUGUGUAUCUGUUAGAUUGGUGCAAUUACAUAAAACAAGUCGUUUCACAGAACCACAAAAGGCACAUUUCUAUUUUGGCGAACCGAAGGAGGAAUUAAAAUGUAGGUCCCUGAAGACGAUCCCCGGGGUGUCCUCACACUAAUGUUGCUUUUUUCUCUUUUUCAGGACACCCCGGCCCGUGGGGUGGGCAGUGGAUGCCCCAAAUCCGGUGAGCCACCUCACCGAGCAUCACCUCUCGGAGACAUGGGCAUCCAGCACAGCUCGGCCUCCACCUGCCUGUAGUCCGCAGAGGAUGAGACUCCAAUACCCCCCUUCAUGCCUGAAGGUCCGUUGCUGUGUCCUUUUUUGACGGGAAAAGGAGAAAAUGCACCGAUUCAGACUUUGAACUGCGUGUUGGCAGAAGAGGGAGCAGAGCCAUUGCCCUGCUAAAAGGGCAUAAUCAUCCUGUGGGUGUCUGAUUACCGCCGAGGUCUAGAGCUGUGCGGGUUGCGUUAUCCACCUUCCCGGGACGCCUAGGAGGGACAGAAACGUCAUGUUCCGGGACAUAAAGCAGCCCCUGGUGACUCAGCCCAGGAGGAACCCUUCAGACAGGCAGAACCUCGCUCCAACCUCCUCCUUGGUUUGGUUUCCACUUGAUUAUCCUCAGCGCCUCCAGGGAUAGAGAGCACAACGAGUAAUCCCCUGAACAUUGGCUGGCAGGCAGCACAAUUUAUAUUCAGCAGUGUCGUGAGGGUGGAAGAUCACUCCUGGAGUCUGGGGCAUAGCAGGAUCUGCACCGACGUGUGGGAGCUGAGGAGCGAAUCCACAGGCUGGGUCGUGUUGUGAGGCAAGCGCUGUAAUCCUGCUCCAGAAAACACGUUUGCAACAGAGCCUGAGGCUCUGCUCCAAGCCCGCUCCCGUCUUCCUACUCGUGGUGGUUCUCCUCUCCUAAUCCCUUUUUAAUAUGGGGUGCUACAUAUUUUGCAACCCCACUGUUCGGGCAUGACUCUAACACGGCCUCUGCUUGCCAGCUGUCGGGGCCGGGCUGCCAGGGGGUGCCGCCGAGCAUCCUCAGCGCCCCUGGGCCCUCCCACAAAACCGAUUUUCCCAAGUAUAAAGAUUAGGAAGAUGGGACGUGCCCUGGUUUUGCAGGCUCGCAGCCCGUGCCCCAGAUACCGUCCACUGUUGGGACAGAACUUUUUCCUAAGUUCAUUAAUAAUUCUAUUUCCUGAUCGCCCUGAAAUAAAAGGUCGCACGCUCUGGCACUGAAUAGCCAUGGGAAGGAAAAAGAAUGGUGAAAGGAGCACUGGACCAGUGCACAUUUUAAAAAAUGAUGUGAAAGAAGUCGCUCAGUGGGCGGGCAGCAUCUGGGCUGCGGGGCGGUGCUGGGGCUGGAGCGGAAUGGGUGCGGGUGUGGGUGCAGAGGCACGGGGUGCGGGUGCCCCCUGCGGGACACCGGGUGCCUCUGGGAGCCCGUGGCACCGGCCCAAGCCGCAGGGAGCAGCUCGGAGCAGGGCUGCGGGACCUCCUGGGUGGGUUUGGGUUUCAUCCUGCCGUGGGAAGCCCCCUGCUGAGCCUGAACUGGCAGCGGUGCAGCACGGAGCCGUACCCUGGCCUCUCUGUGCUCAUCUUUCAGAAGUUUGGGUACGCUUACGGAACCUCAGGCAUCGAGGUUUAAAUUGUUUAAACAGUUCCUUUAAGCUGUUGUUUCGGGAUCUGCUGAGCUCUCCCUCCUUGACGUGAGCGCAAGGAGCGGAACUGUGUCCAGGGGGCAAGCCUAACCUUUAGGGAAGAGCAUCGAGGCACUCGCCAGCAUUUCCUGCGCUGUGACGAAAACGUCCAGAGACUGCGGGAACUCUGAGGAGUGCGCAGGGACGUCGUGGCACGCUGCUGCAGCGCAGUGCCCGCUGCUGUUCCCAGCCCUCAGCACGGGUCUGCCUCUUCCCAAACUGCUCUGGGUGACAUUCGGCGCUGCUGGCACGCCUCGUCGCCGGGCUUGAUUUAGAAAACUAAAGAUAGCACCCGAGUGUGGCCGUUGCUAUCCUAACCUGAGAAAUACAGUCCCAAAUAAAAGCAAAUGUGAAAAGAACUUGGCAUGACAUUAGCAAUGUAGGUCCCUGCAGGAGACAAAGGUGAGUUUUCUGUGCUAAAUUCCACUUCGAUGUUGGUCCUCGUAGCUUCCCAUCUAGGGAGUCCUGCUUAACAGCCUUCAGCGUUCACACCUAGUAGCGCUCAGGCAAAUUAAUAAUAUCGAUCCUUAAUUUGCAUCAUGAAGCUCCAUUUUCAACCUGAUUAAAGCGAUUUGCAAGGCAGUCUCCUGCCUCAGCAGGCUUGUAGCAGAGAUUAUCUGCUAGGUCCCCGUGACUUUGUUGGUUUUCCGGACAGAAAACAUGCCUCUGCCGCCGCUGGGCAGGACUUCAAGGGUUUUUUUCCUCCUCUGGGAAAAUAAAAUGACUGGGGAUGCUGCUAAGUUGGGUGCUUGUUUCUUGCCUGAUUUAGAUGCUCUCUGACGGCCAGUACAGGAAAUUCCCUAGUAUUAUUCCCAGAUCUGCUUCUCUUUCAUCACUGUUCUUCUGUGGCUACUCUACAGCCUAGACCCAAGAUAUUUUUGUCUACCUAGGAACCAUCAUCACCAGUGGGAUUUCUCGGAAGUGCUCUGCUGGAAAUCCGAGUGCUGAUUUGAUCGUGUGAAGACCUGCCAAACAACACGAGCAGUUUGGACUUCCCUGCUGUGGAGUCAUCCCUCGUUCCCUCGGCGAGGAAUCCGCAAAGCCCCAGCUGCUCCAUCUUUCUGGUUCACGGGGAGCCACUCGCUGCCAAUCUUCAGGAGGAAACCGCGCUCCUCAGGGGCUGAAACCACCACAGAGGGUGUUGUAAGGCAAAAGCCACAGCCCCCACGUAACCAGCCUUGCGGUGUGCCAG